rnacentral:rRNA from 1 species
UAAAUAAAUCUUAUUAAAUUUGUUAAUUGGUUAUUUAAUUAAUAAAAAUAAUUUUAUUAGAAGAGUUUUUGUAGUUUUUAAUGAUAAAAUAAUUUUAAUAAUAGUGUAUUAGUAUUGUGAAAGAAUGAUGAAAUAAAUUGAAAAUAAAUUAAAUUUAAAGAAAAUUUUAUUUAUUGUACCUUGUGUAUCAGGGUUUAUUAAUUAAAAAAUAUUUAUUAAUAUUUUUCUCGAAUUUAAGAGAGCUAAUUAAUUAUAUUAGUUAUUGUGGCAUAAAUAUUAAUAAUAAUUAAUUAGAAAUGAAACGUUAUUCGUUCUUAAAUAUAUCUAGUUUUUUAAGAAAUAAAUUUAAUUUAUAUACUUUUAAUUGUAAUAAUUUAAUUUAUUAAUUUAUUAUUUGAAAGUAUAAAUAUUUUAAGGGAUAAGCUUUAAAAUAAAUUUUUAUAAAAUUAUUUAAUAUAAAAUAAUUGUAGGUUUAGAAAUAGCCAUUAAUUGAAAGUAUGUUAUAAUAUAUUUUUUGUAAAAUAUUAUUUAUUUAAUUUUUAAAUUUUUAUUAAAACAUUAAUUUUAAUUAUAAAAAUUAAGAGAUUAUGAUAAAAUUAGUAUAUUUUAAUUUAUAAAUAAAUAAAAAUGAAAGGUUUUUUAAAGGAACUCGGCAAAUUAAAUAUUCGCCUGUUUAUCAAAAACAUGUCUUUUUGAUUUUAUUUAAAGUCUAACCUGCCCACUGAAAUUAUUUAAAGGGCCGCGGUAUUUUGACCGUGCAAAGGUAGCAUAAUCAUUAGUUUUUUAAUUGAAAGCUUGUAUGAAUGGUUGGACGAAAUAUUGACUGUCUUUAUUGAAUUUAUAAUAGAAUUUAAUUUUUUUGUUAAAAAGCAAAAAUAAAUUUAAAGGACGAGAAGACCCCAUAGAGCUUUAUAUUUUUAUAAUAUAAUUUAUAAAGGAUUAUUUAAAUUUUAUUAAAAGAAUUAUUUUGUUGGGGUGACAAUAAAAUUUAUUGAACUUUUAUUAUUUUUUAACAUUGAUUUAUGAAUAAUUGAUCCAAUUUUAUUGAUUAGAAAAUUAAGUUACCUUGGGGAUAACAGCGUAAUUUUUUUAAAGAGUUCAUAUCGACAAAAAAGAUUGCGACCUCGAUGUUGGAUUAAGAGUAAUUUUAGGUGUAGAAGUUUAAAGUAUUGGGUCUGUUCGACCCUUAAAUUCUUACAUGAUCUGAGUUCAAACCGGCGUAAGCCAGGUUGGUUUCUAUCCUUAAAAAAUUAAAAUAUUUUAGUACGAAAGGACCAAAUAUUUAAUAUAUUAAUAUUUUAAUUAAUGAAUAUAAUUAAUUAU